rnacentral:rRNA from 1 species
AGUGGAUGGGGAGCAACCUAGUUGUGCGUGUGUAAAGGUAGUGCCAAAAAGCGGUGAUCAUGAUGAAAAUCAAUUCCCGGUACCCGAAACCGACACAGGUGGACAAGUAGAGAAUACUAAGGGGCGCGAGGUAACUCUCUCCAAGGAACUCGGCAAAAUGACCCCGUAACUUAGGGAGAAGGGGUGCCACCGAGAGGUGGUCGCAGUGAAGAGGCCCAGGCGACUGUUUAGCAAAAACAUAGGUCUCUGCAAACUCGAAAGAGGAGGUAUAGGGGCUGACGCCUGCCCAGUGCCGGAAGGUUAAAGAAGUUGGUCAGUCUUAGGAUGAAGCUAGCGACUGAAGCCCCGGUGAACGGCGGCCGUAACUAUAACGGUCCUAAGGUAGCGAAAUUCCUUGUCGGGUAAGUUCCGACCCGCACGAAAGGCGUAACGAUCUGGGCGCUGUCUCGGAGAGAGGCUCGGCGAAAUAGGAUUGUCUGUGAAGAUACGGACUACCUGCAUUUGGACAGAAAGACCCUAUGAAGCUUUACUAUAGCUUGGAAUUGUGUUCGGGCUUCCUGUGCGCAGGAUAGGUGGGAGGCGUAGAAGGUAUUCUUGUGGGGAUACUGGAGCCAACGGUGAGAUACCACUCUCAGGAGGCUAGAAUUCUAACUUAAUUAAGGACAGUUUCAGGUGGGUAGUUUGACUGGGGCGGUCGCCUCCAAAAAGGUAACGGAGGCGUACAAAGGUUCCCUCAGACUGGUUGGAAAUCAGUCGAAGAGUGCAAAGGCAGAAGGGAGCUUGACUGCGAGAAGUACAGUUCGAGCAGGGUGGAAACACGGUCUUAGUGAUCCGACGGUGCUGUGUGGAAGGGCCGUCGCUCAACGGAUAAAAGUUACUCUAGGAUAACAGGCUGAUCUCCCCCAAGAGUUCACAUCGACGGGGAGGUUUGGCACCUCGAUGUCGGCUCAUCGCAACCUGGGGCGGAAGUACGUCCCAAGGGUUGGGCUGUUCGCCCAUUAAAGCGGUACGUGAGCUGGGUUCAGAACGUCGUGAGACAGUUCGGUCCAUAUCCGAUGUAGGCGUGAGAAUAUUGAGAGGAGCCUUCCUUAGUACGAGAGGACCGGGAAGGACGCACCGCUGGUGUACCUGUUAUGAUGCCAAUUGUAAACGCAGGGUAGCCAAGUGCGGAGAGGAUAACCGCUGAAAGCAUCUAAGUGGGAAGCCCACCUCAAGAUGAGUAUUCUGGUGUAAGGUCACGGGAAGACGACCCGUAAAUAGGCACGAGGUGGAAGUGCAGAGAUGUAUGAAGCCGAAGUGUACUAAUAGACCGUCGGCUUGACCU